AGUAACAGCCAUAUCACCCUGCAGCCCAAGACUGGUUGCCCACUGAAGCUAAGCAGGGUUGAGCCUGGUCAGUACCUGGUUGGGAGACCUCCUGGGAAAACUAGGUUGCUGUUGGAA
rnacentral:rRNA from 1 species